GACGAACGCUGGCGGCGUGCUUAACACAUGCAAGUCGAACGAAGUGGCGAACGGGUGAGCAACGCGUAAUCAACCUGCCAUUCAGAGGGGGACAACAGUUGGAAACGACUGCUAAUACCGCAUACUGUAGGAGGGGAUUGCGUCUGAUUAGCUAGUUUGAGGGGUAACGGCCCACCAAGGAGAUGAUCAGUAGGCGGUCUGAAAGGAUGAACGGCCACAUGGGGAAGGAGACACGGCCCAGACUCCGACGGGAGGCAGCAGUGGGGAAUCUUCCGCAAUGGACGAAAGUCUGAAGGAGGAACGGCGGGGGAGUGAUGACGGCCUUCGGGGUGGAAAGCUCUGUUAAUCGGGACGCGGUACCGGAAUAGAAAGCCACGGCUAACUACGUGCCAGCAGCCGCGGUAAUAC
rnacentral:rRNA from 1 species